rnacentral:lncRNA from 1 species
GGCUGGGUGCCCUCGCUGAGCCCCGGCCGCUUCCAGGAGGAGGAGGAGGAGGAGGUGGUGCCGGUCAAGAAGGAGAAGACGAUUUUCACUGUCCGGCUGACAGAGCUGAAAGCCGCUGACAAGGUGAAGCUGAUCAAGGAGGUGAAGAACUUUGUGCCAGGAGUGAACCUCGUGCAGGAAAGCUUGGUUUUCUCUGUCUUGAGAACUGCAGUCCACCUGGGGCUGYGUGCACGCCUCAGUGCUUCAGAAAUAAGGAUGAGAUGUGCAGCAGGAAUCACUUGCAUCUGUUUGUUUGGUCUUCUUUAGAGAAGGCUGUUUCUUCCCAGCUGUGCUCUAUGUCUGACUCCUGAGCCACAGUAGACCUGAUGAGGCGAAAAAGGAGGCUCAGAGCAAAGACUGCAGAGUUCUCCAUGCCAGGCCAACUAUCCCAAGGAUAAGAGCUGCUAUGAGCUUUUCUGCUGGGCUCAAGAGUACUCAAGAUUCCUCGCUACAGGCAAAGAAGCUGGUAGAGUCCCUUCCGCAGGAGAUCAAGGCUAAUGUGUCCAAAGAGGAAGCAGAGAAGAUCAAAGCAGCGCUGGAGGCAGCAGGAGGGACUGUGGUUCUGGAGUAGACGCCCCRUCUUGUUGCAGAGGGACUAGCGCAAUGGCAGCCUGCUGCUGCCUGCCUGGGGCACCGGCCCCUGACUGUACCAAGGUUCUGGACGUUUCCACRCGUGAGAAUGUCCUGUAGUUCUGUGGUGGGGAUGCUCCCCUGAAGUGGUCCAGUGCAAGAAUGAUGUACGGUUUGGAGGGGCUGCUGUCUAGUGCCAGCAUCACAAUGAACUCUACAUUCAUAAAUGUCAAGCCUGUGUCGUCUUUGCACCGCGCAACAGCCUUGUCUAAACCGCGGCCUGGUGUCUGUGUGUCGAAGCGCCCUUUCCUCGCCCCCCUCCUCCGGCCGCGCUGCUGCGUCAGCAUCUCGGCGAAGUCGCUCCGUAGGGGCCGGUUUGACCUUCCGGCGGAGCUCGCCGUAACCUCAGACUAGGCGGUGGUAAAUGAUUUACAGGGGCGGGCGCAGGCCUGGCGCCGAGAUCCGCAGGCGAGACGAGGCCUCGCGGGAGCGCGGACUCGCGGGGAGCCGCGUUUCGGGGCGCCGUGCCCGGCCCGCGGC